rnacentral:tRNA from 3 species
GGGCAUGUAGCUCAGUGGUAGAGCACUGUACUGAUAAUGCAGUGGUCCUUGGUUCGACCCCAAGCAUGCCCA